GAAGAUGUCAAUGAUUUGGGAGAAAAGAUGAAAAUAUAAAGAAAAUGGGAAUAAUGAAAAGGAUGCGUGACAUCUGUGUAAAGAAUUCCUGAUCUGAGUUCCUGUGACUUUCUCAGUGGGAUGUCUGAAGUGAAAUCUCCUUUAUCCUUCAAAGGGAAUCUUCCAGACCCAGGUAUUGAACCUUCAUCUUUUUUGUCUCCCGCAUUGACAGAAAUAACACAAUCAACAGAAAACUGGAACUUUGAUAAGGUAAAUUAUAAAACCCAAGUCACAGAUCGCUAUUACUUGGCAGAGCUGGAUCAUGUAAUGUAAUUACCCCAUCGGCACUUCCGUGUCAUUCGAAG